ACGUGUUUAAGCUUCCAAAAUGUCAUCUAUCAAGCACCUAGUUUAUGCAGUUAUUCGUUUCUUGCGAGAACAAAGUCAGAUGGAUGUUUAUACUUCAGAUGAACAAGAAAGUUUGGAAGUUGCAAUUCAAUGCUUGGAGACAGUUUUUAAGAUCAGCCCAGAAGAUACACACCUCGCAGUUUCACAGCCCUUGACAGAAAUGUUCACAAAUUCCUUCUGUAAGAAUGACAUUCUGCCUCUCUCAAACUCAGUGCCUGAAGAUGUGGGAAAAGCUGACCAGUUAAAAGAUGAAGGCAAUAACCACAUGAAAGAAGAAAAUUAUGCUGCUGCAGUGGAUUGUUACACACAGGCAAUAGAACUGGAUCCAAAUAAUGCUGUAUAUUAUUGCAACAGGGCUGCUGCUCAAAGCAAAUUAAGUCAUUACACAGAUGCAAUAAAGGACUGUGAGAAAGCAAUAGCAAUCGAUUCCAAGUACAGCAAGGCCUAUGGAAGAAUGGGGCUGGCCCUCACUGCCAUGAAUAAAUUUGAAGAAGCAGUUACAAGUUAUCAAAAGGCAUUAGAUCUUGACCCUGAAAAUGAUUCCUAUAAGUCAAAUCUGAAAAUAGCAGAACAGAAGUUAAGAGAGGUAUCUAGUCCUACAGGAACUGGAUUGAGCUUCGAUAUGGCUAGCUUAAUAAAUAAUCCAGCCUUCAUUAGUAUGGCAGCAAGUUUAAUGCAGAAUCCUCAAGUUCAACAGCUGAUGUCAGGAAUGAUGACAAAUGCCAUUGGAGGACCUGCUGCUGGAGUUGGGGGUCUAACUGACCUGUCUAGCCUCAUCCAAGCGGGGCAGCAGUUUGCUCAGCAGAUACAACAACAGAAUCCUGAACUUAUAGAGCAACUGAGAAAUCAUAUCCGGAGCAGAUCGUUCAGCAGUAGCACUGAGGAACAUUCCUGACUUGACCAGGAACCCUAGCCCACAAUGCGAAUGGUUUAUGGUCCUGAAGUAUUCACUGUAGAUAAUGGCCAAAACCACCCAACCAACUAAACAAAGCACCAUAUCUGGUCUCAUAACGGAGGAGGACAUCUUCUGUACAUUCUUAAAAAAUAAAUCUGUUUAGACAAUAGUUUCAUCACAAACAGAUUUAAAACUAACACAACUCCUUUGGAAACAAAUGAGCAGUAGCCUUGUUAAGUGCCAGUAUAGCACUGCAACAGGGUUCCAUUUUCAAACUUUUAUCUUCCUAUUUGUAUAUUAGACUUCAUAGCAGAGUAUAUUUAUUGAACAGUACGACUGUUCAUUGGUGACUUUUUCAGUUCCAGUACCUUUAGAGUUUAUUGAGAGGUAGAUGACCAAAAGGAAGGAUUUCCCAUUCUGUUUAGAACAAACAGAUUUGCUACCUAGCAGCAUUUCAAGAGAGAAGAAAUUUCUUAUCUUGGUUUACCUGGGUCAGUAAUAAAUGUAUUACAUAGGUGCCAGUACUUUCUUUAAUGCUGCUUGAUCUGAUGAAAAGACAGGGAAUUGGAAGAGCUUGUAUAUAGAAGCAUUUGGUACAAGGAAUGUUUUGAAAAGAAAAAAUAAUGUGAACAUGUAGUAGAAAGGAAAGGUAGGAUGCUCAGGUUUUCUGCAUAGUUCAGAACUCAUUUUUGUCUGCAGUUUGGUAUUGAUAUUAGCAUGGCCAGUUAUGCUAAUACAUAAUAAAAUACAUUUAGAAAUCUUUAAUGAUUCUGGUUAGGUCAGUCAUAUAACUGUUUGACUUAAUCAUGACAGUUUUCCUGGUGGUAACCUUACCUUUGAAACAAUCAGAAACACCUAGAUUUAAGUAAGCCAGUGGCUUGGACCUAAGUUAAGGAUUUUCUGAGUGACAUUUUAUUAUGUAUGCAUAAACAUUAAUUUUCUAAAAACUUAGUAAUUAUUUGAUAGGUAACAAAAAAGCAUUUAUCACUAACAUUGCUUGCUCAUGUAGUCAUCUGCUAUAAUUUGGCUUGGCAUGCUAGUAUUAUGCUUAACCUUAAUUGGAUAUAAUUUAAACAUAAUAGGAGACUUUUUUGUUUAUUAAUCAUAAAAUUAGUGAAAUGAGGCUGACAUGUAACAAUCUCACAAGUUUUGUGAGGGAAAACUGAAGAAGAAAAUAAUACAAAUCAGUUGUAAUGGUGAUAAUCAGGGCCUACUAUAAAACUGUUCUCAAAAGACUAAUUAUUUGGUAUCCUGAAGCUUAAAAACCAACUUUUUAUUUCUUUGUGUGAAAUUAGAACAGUGGUUAUAUAAUUAUACUGUAAGAACCACCUGAGGAAUUUAUUAAAGAUGCAGAUUCAGGACACUUUUGUUUUGAUAUACUAGGUCCUACAAUAAAGCCUGGGAAUCACCAUUUUAAACAGUGCACUAGAUGGUUCUGAUGUAGGUCCAAGGACUCUAAUUUAAAGCAACACUAGGUUGGAGAUUUUUUCUUAAUUAGACCAGCAAUACCCAAGCACCUGGGCUCAGGCAAAAAUAAUUUUAGAUGAACCCAUAGUUCCAGCCUGAGAAGAACAGGAGUUAAAUCUUAGAUCAUCUUAAGUGAUAUCUCUUAGACUCUACCAAAAUGAACUCAGUGUUUCAUGAAGUUAGACUUAGCUCCUAGUGUCCAUGUGUUUAACAGAAUGAAGUACUGUUACUAAUCACAUGAACAUUCUAUCAUUUAAAAAGCAGCAGCAGAGUAGAUCCUUAAUUAAAAAUUAGGCACUCUUAUCUAGUGUUGAAGUUCAAGUUUCUAGCAAAACUAUUUUAAGUGCAUUAAAAAUGUUUUCAGAUCAAUAAAAUUGACAAGUCUCUAGCUGACUAGAAAAACUGAAGAAAAAUAAAAAUUAUUAGUAUCAGACGUGAAAGAGGGGAUAUAUAAUAGACCCUAUAGAUACAGGAUAAUCAGAAAAUACUAGACUAACUCUAGACUUAUAUAUUAAAACUUAACUUAGAUGAAAUAGACCAAUUCUUUUUAUAGAAAAACUACCAAAAAUCACUUUAGAAAUGGGGGUCUGAAUAGAUCUAUAUUUAUUAAGGAAACAGAAUUUGUACUUAAAACCUUACAAAAAGAAAAACAGGCUCAGAUGACUUAAGUGGAUUUUCUGAGUAACAUUUUAUUAUGUAUGCAUAAACAUAAUAAAAUCCUACCAAAUACUUAAGGGAGAAAUAAUAUCAAUUCUACACAAUCUUGUCCAAAAAAGAAGAGAAGGAAAAUCUUUGCAACUCAUUUUAUGUGGCUAGUAUUACCCUGAUAAAAUCAAAGACAUCAUAAGACAAACACUUUAAUAAUCUCUUCAUGUGCUAUUAUCUGUAAUGAAGUUGGCUAUUCCCAAUAAUUGGAAUUGGUAUUUCUUCCAUUUCACAUUUCUAGUUUGUUUCUUUGCUGAUAUAUCACUUAUAACAAAUUCAAUCCACAGAUAUCUGUCCACUUACCUGGAUUUCCAUUCUAUUCAGGCCAUUUUUGUUUUUCAGGUACCUUGAUCCAUUUGGAAUCACUGCUCACAAACUAUUUCUACUAAGUUUUGUGUGGUUGGGUUUGCUAGCUACUCAAAAUUGUAAGCAAUGCCCCAUAUAUUUUCUUGUCUGGAAAAUACUGUUGCUAUCUAACUAGAGAGACGAGGGGGGAUUAAAGAACAUCUUUAUAUACAUUCUACUUAGGGAUGCUUUACUUCCAUUAACCACAUUUCAUUGUUGUAUCUAUAGGUGUUAAAAUGCUAUGUAAAACUGAACAUGUCUUUUUAAUGCAAAUGACAUCUUUAUUUAAUAUACUAAGUUAUUUAGUUUUAAAACUAUAGUUUGAACAGAUCCAAUCUAAGAUGGCAUUAUCUAACCUUUAAAAUCAAUGCGUGUUACUGUUUAUAAACAAAAGAGACUCUGUAAUUAAAUCAAAGUACAUAGAAGAUUCCAAGUGAUCAUUCUGUUUUUAAAUUUGAAAUAGAGUUAAACAAAAGUUUUGGUCACAAGAAGAUACUUGAAAAAUGAUCAAAGUAUCCAGUAAAGUGGCUAUAAAGUCUGAUUUCAUCAUUUAAUCAGUCUUAAUCAUUUUGGAAGAAAGAUGACAUCAGUUUUACAUGGCUUGCACUUUAUUUUGCACAGACAUUUCAUUAACUGUUACUCCAGUAUGAGAUGCAAUCUUGAAUAUAGCUUUCAUUUCGGACCAAAUAAUUUGUCAUGGCAAUAAAUAAUUAUGCAUUUAAGAAAAAUCAAGUUUUGUAUUUGACUUAAUGUACUCUUACAUUUUUAAGGAAUUAUAUAUAUAUACAUUCUAUAAUUUCAACUUGCUAGAAUAGGACAGCUUUUAUUUAACAGCACAAGCUUUUAUUUUCCUGAAAAAAUAUUGAAACUUUUUGUUAGGUUCAUGUUAAAAAGUGGCUUACAACCUUUUUUUUUUUAAAGAAUUAUUUUAUUUAACUUUAUUUAUUUAAAUUUGACUAGAGAGGGACAGAAUG